AUAGCGUAUAUUAAAGUUGUUGCAGUUAAAAAGCUCGUAGUUGAACUUUAGACCUGGCCGGACGGUCUGCCUAACGGUAUGUACUGUCUGGCUGGGCCUUACCUCUUGGUGAGCCGGCAUGCCCUUCACUGGGUGUGUCGGGGAACCAGGACUUUUACCUUGAGAAAAUUAGAGUGUUCAAAGCAGGCUUAUGCUCGAAUACAUUAGCAUGGAAUAAUAAAAUAGGACGUGCGGUUCUAUUUUGUUGGUUUCUAGAGUCGCCGUAAUGAUUAAUAGGGAUAGUUGGGGGCAUUAGUAUUCCGUUGCUAGAGGUGAAAUUCUUGGAUUUACGGAAGACUAACUUCUG
rnacentral:rRNA from 1 species